UCGUUAGCUCAGUUGGUAGAGCAAUUGACUUUUAAUCAAUUGGUCGCAGGUUCGAGUUGAGCGCAGCGAAACA
rnacentral:tRNA from 5 species